CCCAGAGUAGGCAUAGUUUAAUUAAACCCUAAGCUGUGACUACACAGGA
rnacentral:tRNA from 1 species